rnacentral:lncRNA from 1 species
UAGCAAUGGGUUCAGAAUGUAAACAAAGGGUUUGUUUACAUAAUUACAUACUUUACAUAGCCUUUAAUGAAACCUUUUUUGGCUACUAACACCAAUGUUUCUGACAGAGCUGUACAGGCAAUACUUUAAACAGAAACAAUAUAUUAUAUCAUCAAACAAUUCUAUCAAACAAGUUGCAAAAGAAUCCAAAUUGCUGUUUCAGCUGUUUAAUUGUUACAUUCACACCAUGAUUCAUACAUUUACAGUUCAAUUAAAAAAUCCCAAAUCUUGUAUAAACACAGUCCUAGCAUUCGUGUACGCUUGUAAGUCUUGUACGCUUGAAUUUCUUUUCAAUAAUAACACUCCAAUAUAGUAGAUCAGGGACAUAUGCCAUCAUUCCCAUCAAUACUCACUCAGAGUGAACCACGAGUAUGAAUUAUUACCAUAACGAAGUCUGUUAUUUUGCCCAAAUGAACUAAAGUAUGCAUAAAUCAACUCCUUAAUCCCUUCACCACUUUUUCGGACGAAAAGUAACAAAAAAUUCGUCGAAAUAAGCAACUUUUCAGGCCAAAUAUUAGCAAAUAUAUCGUAUUCACUCAUGUUGGCCGCGCA